rnacentral:lncRNA from 1 species
UGAAUGAAAAUUGAAAACAAAGGAAUUCGAUGUGGUGAUAACUCUCUACAGUUGAUAUUAGCAUAGGAUAGGUAGGCAUCAACCCUUGAACCUUCCCUUGUGAAGUAUAUUUACUUUACUGGCUGACUAGUAGACGUGAUGUCCUUGAACUAUUCUGCCGUUUGUGUAAACGAUGAUAUACCUCACACAAAUACCAACAUAACACGGUUUUGGUUCUCAUGGUUAUGUUCAUUAUGGUCGUGAACAUCUCCUGGUUCUGCAAGAAUUGAAGAGAACUAAACUCAUUAAUUUUCCUUGAAGCGACCCCACUUCAUUCUCACAUAGGUGAUUUUAUCUUUUUGUUCAGAUUACUGACACACAAGAUCAAUCAUUAAAAGCAUAGCUUAACCUUAUCCGAUUUCAUAUCACUGUUUAUAGAUAAGGGUUAGACCCCUACAAUGAUAAUACAUUGUCUAUGCAAUUAGGUUGUCCCAUUGAACCUAGAUUCUGGGAUCUCCAGUCAACAAGGUUGGGUUUUCCUUCACAUAGAACCUUUAAAUAUUUAUGGCCUUCAAUCCCAUUCUUCUUGAUGUCGUUUCAACUUGAUCUCGGUUUAAACCUUUGGUUAG